rnacentral:rRNA from 1 species
GUGUCAGCCGCCGCGGUAAUACAGAGGGUGCAAGCGUUGUCCGGAAUGAUUGGGCGUAAAGCAUUUGUAGGUGGUUUCUAAAGUCAACUGUUAAAUCCCAGAGCUCAACUUUGGACAAGCAGUUGAGUACUUAGGGACUUGAGUAUGGUAGGGGUAGAGGGAAUUCCUAGUGGAGCGGUGAAAUGCACAGAGAUUAGGAAGAACACCAGUGGCGAAAGCGCUCUACUGGGCCAUUACUGACACUGAGAGAUGAAAGUCGGGGGAGCGAAAAGGAUUAGAUACCCUUGUAGUCCCGACCGUAAACGAUGGAUACUAAGUGCUGUCAAAAACAGUGCUGUAGCUAACGCGUUAAGUAUCCCGCCUGGGGAGUACGCUCGCAAGAUUAAAACUCAAAGGAAUUGACGGGG